rnacentral:tRNA from 1 species
GGGGAUAUGGCGGAAUCGGCAGACGCAAAGGACUUAAAAUCCUUUGGUGGCAACACCGUGCGGGUUCAAGUCCCGCUGUCCCCA